rnacentral:lncRNA from 1 species
GGAUGCCUGCCCACCUCCCAAAUCAAGAUAUUCUAACGAACAAUGCAUUGUGCACAUCAACAGAAAAAUACAUCAUCAUCAUCAUCAUCAUCAUAUCCAACAGAUCGAAAACAAUAUAUAAUUAAUAACAAAAUUAGAUAAGUAGUAGUACAAAUUAAAUACCUUGCGUCUUACAUGAAUAUCCAUCCGAUCCACAAUAAUAUAUUAUGAGAAAUAUAUCUUCAAUUAACCAUGCAUGCAUGCACUAAAAAUCAAAGGAAAAUGAUAUAUCAUAUAUAAAUCAAACAGAUUAUUGAUCAUGAUAUAUAUUGCUUGGCCAGGUCUGCUCGCUCAAACUGAUCGAUCAGGCGCAACAAAAAGCAAGAACACACCUAAAUGGACACAAGAGGCAAUUUAAAGCCAUACCUAAAAUUUCACAGGGCAAACAAAGAACACAUAAUGAAGAUACAGUGCAGCAUGCUAAGCAAGCUCCACAACCAUCAAGCUCUUCUUCUGAUCUCCCCUCUAGCAGCCUUGAUUCCGCCGCCGCCGACGACAUAUCUUUAAUUAGAUGAUCACUGCCAGUACUAUUAGAAAUUAAUAUUGUUGUUUAUAUGCUAGCUAGCUCUCCUUUUUGCCCAUCUUCUUGAUAGAUUGUAAUUAAGGUCUUAAGGUAUA